rnacentral:tRNA from 1 species
GGCCCCGUCGUCUAACGGUUAGGACGCCAGGUUUUCAACCUGGUAACGCGGGUUCGAUUCCCGCCGGGGCUGCCA